rnacentral:rRNA from 1 species
GACGAACGCUGGCGGCGUGCUUAACACAUGCAAGUCGAACGGUGAAGCGCCUUCCUUUUUGGUGGGUGUGGAUGAGUGGCGAACGGGUGAGUAACACGUGAGUAACCUGCCCCCUUCUUCUGGAUAACCGCAUGAAAGUGUGGCUAAUACGGGAUAUUCUGGGUCUGUCGCAUGAUGGGUCUGGGAAAGAUAUUGUUUCGGUGGGGGAUGGGCUCGCGGCCUAUCAGCUUGUUGGUGGGGUGAUGGCCUACCAAGGCGGUGACGGGUAGCCGGCCUGAGAGGGUGGACGGUCACACUGGGACUGAGACACGGCCAAGACUCCUACGGGGGGCAGCAGUGGGGAAUAUUGCACGAUGGGCGCAAGCCUGAUGCAGCGACGCCGCGUGAGGGAUGGAGGCCUUCGGGUUGUGAACCUCUUUCGCCAGUGAAGCAGGCCUGCCUCGUUUGUGGGUGGGUUGACGGUAGCUGGAUAAGAAGCGCCGGCUAACUACGUG